GUAGUAUUCCCUCCGUCCCAAACUUCUUGUCUUACAUUUGUUUAGAUACAGAUGUAUCUAACACUAAAAUGUAACUAGAUACAUCCGUAUUUAGACAAAUUUAAGACAAGAAUUUUGGGACGGAGGGAGUACAAA
rfam:Triticum aestivum genome assembly, contig: Triticum_aestivum_CS42_TGACv1_scaffold_407329_5BL